GUUAACUUUACCACUUAUUUAAGGUAAUUCAAAAGCUAGCAAACCAAAGCAAUCCUUCCUCAUUCUCUUGUCACCAUAGAAAGGUAAAAUUUAUUACAACAGGUUGUGACAUAUUGCAAACUCUAUAAUAUAUGAGGAAGUGGAAGGUAGCAGCUUCCACAGAGUAUAAAGUAGGUACAGCAGAAAUAAACAUAACAAGUCUAGCAAUUCACUUUCUGCUAAAAUUUGAUGCAAGUAUUAAAGACUAGUAAAAACAAGAUUAAAAAAUUAAUAGAAACUAUCAAUCACUAACUUUGGUCGACAAUAAAAUAUAAAACUUUAAGGAAAAUGAAAAUCCCACUAUUUGAAAUAAACAAAUUAAACAGCCCAACAUGCAAGAAAACAAAGGUUAUAAAUAAUAAUAAAACGAAAAAUUUAAUCUUUAUCAUAAGUGUCACACCAGCACAACCCAAAAAAAAAACCAUUAAUAUAUUCUUUAAGAAAUAAAAAGUGUUAAUUAAUGACCAUAAGCUUCAAUAGCACCAUUAACAAGGAUGGUUUUUCCACGAAAACCCAUAACUAUGCUAAUCCUACCAUUGUGCUAUCUCCAGGAAUCGCUAUU